UCUCGCAGAGCCCCCGUGAUCUACCCCUUGAUCUCCUGCGACGGGUGCAACGACGCCAAAGUCACCUUCGGCUGCUUGGUCAGCGACUUCUUCCCCCCGCCCGUCACCGUCACGUGGGACGACAGGACCGCGGGAAACCAAGAGACCUUCCAGGCCAUUCAGACCAGCAACGGCUACUACAGCCUCAGCAGCGAGUUCACCGUCCCCGUCAGCAGCUUGAACGGCAACUCCUUCUGGUGCCAGGCGACCUACUCCGGAACCACCAUCAGGAAGGAGAUCCCAGGUGAGAAAGGCAACGGGGAGUCGCUCCCGGCAUUGCGCGACGUCUUGGUGGGCGCCGAGAUGG